UACGUAGGGUGCAAGCGUUGUCCGGAAUUAUUGGGCGUAAAGAGCUCGUAGGCGGUCUGUUGCGUCGGCUGUGAAAACCCGGGGCUCAACUCCGGGCCUGCAGCCGAUACGGGCAGACUAGAGUUCGGCAGGGGAGACUGGAAUUCCGUGGUGUAGCGGUGAAAUGCGCAGAUAUCAGGAGGAACACCGGUGGCGAAGGCGGGUCUCUGGGCCGAUACUGACGCUGAGGAGCGAAAGCGUGGGGAGCGAACAGG
rnacentral:rRNA from 1 species